rnacentral:rRNA from 1 species
CCUACGGGAGGCAGCAGUGAGGAAUAUUGGUCAAUGGACGAGAGUCUGAACCAGCCAAGUAGCGUGAAGGAUGACUGCCCUAUGGGUUGUAAACUUCUUUUAUAUGGGAAUAAAAUGUUCCACGUGUGGGAUUUUGUAUGUACCAUAUGAAUAAGGAUCGGCUAACUCCGUGCCAGCAGCCGCGGUAAUACGGAGGAUCCGAGCGUUAUCCGGAUUUAUUGGGUUUAAAGGGUGCGUAGGCGGAUUGUUAAGUCAGUUGUGAAAGUUUGCGGCUCAACCGUAAAAUUGCAGUUGAAACUGGCAGUCUUGAGUACAGUAGAGGUGGGCGGAAUUCGUGGUGUAGCGGUGAAAUGCUUAGAUAUCACGAAGAACUCCGAUUGCGAAGGCAGUUCACUGGACUGCAACUGACACUGAGGCUCGAAAGUGUGGGUAUCAAACAGGAUUAGAUACCCCAGUAGUC